rnacentral:rRNA from 1 species
GACCUGACUGCUAUCGGAUUGAUACUAAGCCAUGCGAGUCUUUGUAGUAAUACAAGGCAGACGGCUCAGUAACACGUAGUCAACCUACCCUAUGGACAAGAAUAAUCUCGGGAAACUGGGCAUAAUUCUUGAUAGAUCAUAAUGCCUGGAAUGGUUUAUGAUUAAAAUGAUUCGUCGCCACAGGAUGGGACUGCGGCCUAUCAGCUUGUUGGUGAGGUAAUGGCCCACCAAGGCGAUUACAGGUACGGGCUCUGAGAGGAGAAGCCCGGAGAUGGGUACUGAGACACGGACCCAGGCCCUAUGGGGCGCAGCAGGCGAGAAAACUUUGCAAUGUGCGAAAGCACGACAAGGUUAAUCCGAGUGAUUUCUGCUAAAGAAAUCUUUUACCAGUCGUAAAACCGCUGGUGAAUAAGGGGUGGGCAAGUUCUGGUGUCAGCCGCCGCGGUAAAACCAGCACCUCAAGUGGUCAGGAUGAUUAUUGGGCCUAAAGCAUCCGUAGCCGGCUUUGUAAGUUUUCGGUUAAAUCCAUGUGCUCAACGCAUGGGCUGCCGAAAAUACUGCAUGGCUAGGGAGUGGGAGAGGUAGACGGUACUCAGUAGGAAGGGGUAAAAUCCUUUGAUCUAUUGAUGACCACCUGUGGCGAAGGCGGUCUACCAGAACACGUUCGACGGUGAGGGAUGAAAGCUGGGGGAGCAAACCGGAUUAGAUACCCGGGUAGUCCCAGCUGUAAACGAUGCAGACUCGAUGAUGCAUUGGCAUAAUGGCCAGUGCAGUGUCGCAGGGAAGCCGUUAAGUCUGCCGCCUGGGAAGUACGUACGCAAGUAUGAAACUUAAAGGAAUUGGCGGGGGAGCACCACAAGGGGUGAAGCCUGCGGUUCAAU